CUUACACAUGCAGUCGAACGAUGAACCACUUCGGUGGGGAUUAGUGGCGAACGGGUGAGUAACACGUGGGCAAUCUGCCCUGCACUCUGGGACAAGCCCUGGAAACGGGGUCUAAUACCGGAUACUGAUCCGCCUGGGCAUCCAGGCGGUUCGAAAGCUCCGGCGGUGCAGGAUGAGCCCGCGGCCUAUCAGCUUGUUGGUGAGGUAACGGCUCACCAAGGCGACGACGGGUAGCCGGCCUGAGAGGGCGACCGGCCACACUGGGACUGAGACACGGCCCAGACUCCUACGGGAGGCAGCAGUGGGGAAUAUUGCACAAUGGGCGCAAGCCUGAUGCAGCGACGCCGCGUGAGGGAUGACGGCCUUCGGGUUGUAAACCUCUUUCAGCAGGGAAGAAGCGCAAGUGACGGUACCUGCAGAAGAAGCGCCGGCUAACUACGUGCCAGCAGCCGCGGUAAUACGUAGGGCGCGAGCGUUGUCCGGAAUUAUUGGGCGUAAAGAGCUCGUAGGCGGCUUGUCGCGUCGGUUGUGAAAGCCCGGGGCUU
rnacentral:rRNA from 1 species